AUUGAACGCUGGCGGCAUGCUUUACACAUGCAAGUCGAACGGCAGCGCGGGCUUCGGCCUGGCGGCGAGUGGCGAACGGGUGAGUAAUACAUCGGAACGUGCCCAGUAGUGGGGGAUAGCCCGGCGAAAGCCGGAUUAAUACCGCAUACGACCUGAGGGUGAAAGCGGGGGAUCUUCGGACCUCGCGCUAUUGGAGCGGCCGAUGGCAGAUUAGCUAGUUGGUGGGGUAAAGGCCUACCAAGGCGACGAUCUGUAGCUGGUCUGAGAGGACGACCGGCCACACUGGGACUGAGACACGGCCCAGACUCCUACGGGAGGCAGCAGUGGGGAAUUUUGGACAAUGGGCGAAAGCCUGAUCCAGCAAUGCCGCGUGUGUGAUGAAGGCCUUCGGGUUGUAAAGCACUUUUGGCGGGAACGAAAAGGACUGUGCCAAUACCACGGUUCGAUGACGGUACCCGCAGAAUAAGCACCGGCUAACUACGUG
rnacentral:rRNA from 1 species